UACGGAGGGGGCUAGCGUUGUUCGGAAUUACUGGGCGUAAAGCGCGUGUAGGCGGCCCGCUAAGUCUGAUGUGAAAGCCCGGGGCUCACCCCCGGAAGUGCAUUGGAGACUGGCGGGCUCGAGUCCCGGAGAGGAGGGUGGAAUUCCUGGUGUAGCGGUGAAAUGCGUAGAUAUCGGGAGGAACACCGGUGGCGAAGGCGGCCCUCUGGACGGUGACUGACGCUGAGACGCGAAAGCGUGGGGAGCAAACAGG
rnacentral:rRNA from 1 species